GCUGGGCGUGAUGGCACGCACCUGUAAGCCCCAGCUACUCAGGAGCUGAGGCAGGGGAUCGCUUGAGCCCAGGAGUUCUGGGCUGUAGUGCACCAUGCCGAUCAGGUGUCUGCACUAAGUUCAGCAUCAAUAUGGUGACCUCCCAGGAGCAGGGGACCACCAGGUUGCCUAAGGUGGGGUGAACCGGCCCAGGUUGGAAAUGGACCAGGUCAAGAGGUGGACGCUUAACCAACCAACAGAGCCAGCCAGGCGCCCCCCAACACUUCCCUUCUGUCCACACCAUGGACCGCCUGUGUACUGGUGCUCUUCUGUCUCUU
rfam:Ailuropoda melanoleuca scaffold1514_14, whole genome shotgun sequence.